rnacentral:misc_RNA from 1 species
GAUGAAGAACGUAGCGAAAUGCGAUACGUAAUGUGAAUUGCAGAAUUCAGUGAAUCAUCGAAUCUUUGAACGCAUAUUGCGCUCUCUGGUAUUCCGGAGAGCAUGCUUGUUUGAGUAUCAGUAACACCUCAACUUCCAUAUCUUUUUUGAAAUGGGAGUUGGACUUGAGUGAUCCCAACGCUUUUCCUCACCGAAAAGUGGCGGGUUACUUGAAAUGCAGGUGCAGCUGGACUUUUCUCUGAGCUAUAAGCAUAUCUAUUUAGUCUGCCUAAAAAACAGAUUAUUACCUUUGCUGCAGCUAACAUAAAGGAGAUUAGUUCUUGUGCUGACUGAUGCAGGAUUCACAAAGACAGGCUUCGGCCGACUUUGUAAACUCGAUCUCAAAUCAAGUAAGACUACCCGCUGAACUUAAGCAUAUCAAUAAGCGGAGGA